rnacentral:rRNA from 1 species
CCUACGGGCGGCAGCAGUGGGGAAUAUUGGGCAAUGGGCGCAAGCCUGACCCAGCAACGCCGCGUGAAGGAAGAAGGCUUUCGGGUUGUAAACUUCUUUUAUCAGGGACGAAGCAAGUGACGGUACCGGAUGAAUAAGCCACGGCUAACUACGUGCCAGCAGCCGCGGUAAUACGUAGGUGGCAAGCGUUAUCCGGAUUUACUGGGGGUAAAGGGGGUGUAGGCGGGAGUGCAAGUCAGAUGUGAAAACUAUGGGCUCAACCCAUAGCCUGCAUUUGAAACUGUACUUCUUGAGUGCUGGAGAGGCAAUCGGAAUUCCGUGUGUAGCGGUGAAAUGCGUAGAUAUACGGAGGAACACCAGUGGCGAAGGCGGAUUGCUGGACAGUAACUGACGCUGAGGCGCGAAAGCGUGGGGAGCAAACAGGAUUAGAUACCCGAGUAGUC